CCUACGGGAGGCUGCAGUGAGGAAUAUUGGUCAAUGGACGAGAGUCUGAACCAGCCAAGUCGCGUGAAGGAUGACUGCCCUAUGGGUUGUAAACUUCUUUUAUAAAGGAAUAAAACGAGGCACGUGUGCCUUUUUGCAUGUACUUUAUGAAUAAGGAUCGGCUAACUCCGUGCCAGCAGCCGCGGUAAUACGGAGGAUCCGAGCGUUAUCCGGAUUUAUUGGGUUUAAAGGGAGCGUAGAUGGGUUGUUAAGUCAGUUGUGAAAGUUUGCGGCUCAACCGUAAAAUUGCAAUUGAUACUGGUAGUCUUGAGUACAGUUGAGGUAGGCGGAAUGCGUGGUGUAGCGGUGAAAUGCUUAGAUAUCACGAAGAACCCCGAUUGCGAAGGCAGCUUACUAACCUGUGACUGACAUUGAUGCUCGAAAGUGUGGGUAUCAAACAGGAUUAGAUACCCCGGUAGUC
rnacentral:rRNA from 1 species